UACAGAGGUCUCAAGCGUUGUUCGGAUUCAUUGGGCGUAAAGGGUGCGUAGGCGGCGCGGUAAGUCGGGUGUGAAAUCUCGGAGCUUAACUCCGAAACUGCAUUCGAUACUGCCGUGCUUGAGGACUGGAGAGGAGACUGGAAUUUACGGUGUAGCGGUGAAAUGCGUAGAUAUCGUAAGGAAGACCAGUGGCGAAGGCGGGUCUCUGGACAGUUCCUGACGCUGAGGCACGAAGGUCAGGGGAGCAAACGGGA
rnacentral:rRNA from 1 species